UGUAACAAUCGAUAAUUACUCAAUGUAAAUUUAGUAUAUAAGAGAUAUGGUUAAGGCAGCAAGGGGUCAGUGGUGGUGAUCGUGUGACUCGAUCACCAAUGGACGUCGCGUUCAAAUAAAGUAUUUUACAUCAUUUUUGGUUUCACCUUAUUUUGGUAUACAUCUGAGUAAUAGGAGUCUACGACAUAUCCUAUAACUCCUAUAAACUGACAGUCUAAUCUAAUCUAUAAAGUUUAUCAAGAUUCCCAGAGCAUUAUUCCAUCUAUUUAUAGAAAGUUUAUCAAAAUCUUUACUAAGUUUGAAAAUUAUUUCUUUUAUUGAGAUAAAUAUUGACAAGAUAAUUUGACAAGAUUGUGCUGACUGUGGUCAGUGACUUUACUGCAGUGUGUUCUUGACUCUUCUUGGCUCUUGAGCAAAGUUAAAGUUUCCAAGUUCUUAAAUACUAAUAUAAUAAAUCUUAAAAUAAUGGAAAUAAUCAAAUCGAAUAAAGGUUCAGACAAAAUUUGUUACCAAGGCUACAUGUAUACGUUAAAACAUGCUGGCAAGCAAUAUGAUACAUGGAGGUGUACAAAAAAAAGUUCUCUUAAUUGUCCAGCUAUUUUGAGAAUUUCAAUUUUAAAAACGGAACCUAUGAUUACAACGCCUCAUAGCCAUAUAGCUGAACCGACACAUAUUGAAGUGGCUAAAGUUAUGGCUAAAAUUAAAGUAAAAGCUGCUCAGUCAAGUGUAAAUCCAUCUCAGAUUCCAUCAAAAAUCCAUUGGAUCCAAAAACAAUUAAAGAAUGUGAAUUUUUAGAUGAGUGGAGUACAACUGGUCAUCCUCAUUAUAAACGAUUACUUUUUGAUGACAAUGGGACCGAAGCACCAGAACGUGUCGUUAUGUUUGCUACUGAUGAUGGGUUAAAAAUUUAGCUGAUGCUUCAAGAUG